rnacentral:rRNA from 1 species
GGGAAAUCUUACCGGGUCCGGACAUAUCGAGGAUUGACAGACAGUUAUACAUGCCCUACAAGUAGGAGUCAGGUUUUAAACCUAAUGGCUCUUUCAUGAUUAUAUGAUAGGUGGUGCAUGGCCGUUCUUAGUUCGUGGAGUGAUCUGUCUGCUUAAUUGCGUUUCAAAAUUUAACUUGAGGACCGGGUUUUGGUUUGGCUAGUGGUUCUACGAUGACUGUGAACUGUCAUGUCUUCGGAUGUGCGACUAUUGGUCUAGGAUCACAUGACUUGCCCCUGGGACUCUUUUGAACGCAACGGACGUGAUUGCAACCCCUUGUUGAGAUUAGAGAUAGUCUCGAUAUUCACUGGACAAACUGGCUGCUUUAUGCAGUCUUGUUGAAUGGUGGAUAAACUCGGGGGACUGCUGACUAUAACCAUUUCUCAAAACAGAGGAAGGUUGCGGCAAUAACAGGUCUGUGAUGCCCUCAGAUGUCCCGGGCUGCACACGUGCUACAAUGAGUGGCGCAAUGUGCUAAUGUUUAAGGGAUAAGAGUGUGGUCAGUAGAACGUCGGGAUUUCCCCUGACGUCUCCCCCGCACGAUUAUCAGCCUUCCCUUAACAGGGCGGGCAACCUUUUCAAAAUACUGGUUUGAUGUUAAAGUAUUGAGUCGUUUUUUUUGGAUGG